rnacentral:rRNA from 1 species
UACAGAGGUCUCAAGCGUUGUUCGGAUUCAUUGGGCGUAAAGGGUGCGUAGGCGGCGCGGUAAGUCGGGUGUGAAAUCUCGGGGCUUAACUCCGAAACUGCAUUCGAUACUGCGGUGCUUGAGGACUGGAGAGGAGACUGGAAUUCACGGUGUAGCAGUGAAAUGCGUAGAUAUCGUGAGGAAGACCAGUGGCGAAGGCGGGUCUCUGGACAGUUCCUGACACUGAGGCACGAAGGCCAGGGGAGCAAACGGG